AGGGUUUGAUUAUGGCUCAGGAUGAACGCUAGCUACAGGCUUAACACAUGCAAGUCGAGGGGCAGCAUGGUCUUAGCUUGCUAAGGCCGAUGGCGACCGGCGCACGGGUGAGUAACACGUAUCCAACCUGCCGUCUACUCUUGGACAGCCUUCUGAAAGGAAGAUUAAUACAAGAUGGCAUCAUGAGUCCGCAUGUUCACAUGAUUAAAGGUAUUCCGGUAGACGAUGGGGAUGCGUUCCAUUAGAUAGUAGGCGGGGUAACGGCCCACCUAGUCUUCGAUGGAUAGGGGUUCUGAGAGGAAGGUCCCCCACAUUGGAACUGAGACACGGUCCAA
rnacentral:rRNA from 1 species